AGAACGUCGUGAGACAGUUCGGUCCCUAUCUGCCGUGGACGUUUGAGAUUUGAGAGGGGCUGCUCCUAGUACGAGAGGACCGGAGUGGACGAACCUCUGGUGUUCCGGUUGUCACGCCAGUGGCACUGCCGGGUAGCUAUGUUCGGAAGAGAUAACCGCUGAAAGCAUCUAAGCGGGAAACUUGCCUCAAGAUGAGAUCUCACUGGAGCCUCGAGCUCCCUGAAGGGCCGUCGAAGACUACGACGUUGAUAGGCAGGGUGUGUAAGCGUUGUGAGGCGUUGAGCUAACCUGUACUAAUUGCCCGUGAGGCUUGACCAUAUAACACCCAAACA
rnacentral:rRNA from 1 species